rnacentral:rRNA from 1 species
CAGUCGCCGCGGUAAUACAGAGGGUGCAAGCGUUAAUCGGAAUUACUGGGCGUAAAGCGCGCGUAGGUGGUUUGUUAAGUUGGAUGUGAAAUCCCCGGGCUCAACCUGGGAACUGCAUCCAAAACUGGCAAGCUAGAGUAUGGUAGAGGGUGGUGGAAUUUCCUGUGUAGCGGUGAAAUGCGUAGAUAUAGGAAGGAACACCAGUGGCGAAGGCGACCUCCUGGACUGAUACUGACACUGAGGUGCGAAAGCGUGGGGAGCAAACAGGAUUAGAUACCCCUGUAGUCCCUGUCUCUUAUAC